GGUGAUACUAGCAAAGUGGUCACACCUGUUCCCAUACCGAACACAGUAGUUAAGCACUUUAGCGGCAAAAAUAGCUGGGCCUAGCCCCCGUGAACAUAGCUCAUCGCCGGGU
rnacentral:rRNA from 1 species